rnacentral:rRNA from 1 species
UACGGAGGGUGCGAGCGUUAAUCGGAAUUACUGGGCGUAAAGGGCACGUAGGCGGUUUGGUAAGUCGGAUGUGAAAGCCCUGGGCUUAACCUGGGAAUUGCAUUCGAUACUGUCAAGCUAGAGUACGAGAGAGGGGGGUAGAAUUCCUGGUGUAGCGGUGAAAUGCGUAGAUAUCAGGAGGAAUACCAGUGGCGAAGGCGGCCCCCUGGAUCGAUACUGACGCUGAGGUGCGAAAGCGUGGGGAUCAAACAGG